rnacentral:rRNA from 1 species
UACGUAGGGUGCGAGCGUUAAUCGGAAUUACUGGGCGUAAAGCGUGCGCAGGCGGUUCGUUAAGUCAGAUGUGAAAGCCCCGGGCUCAACCUGGGAACUGCAUUUGAAACUGGCGGGCUUGAGUGUGGCAGAGGGGGGUGGAAUUCCGCGUGUAGCAGUGAAAUGCGUAGAGAUGUGGCGGAACACCGAUGGCGAAGGCAGCCCCCUGGGCCGAGAUUGACGCUCAGGCACGAAAGCGUGGGGAGCAAACAGG